AUACGGAGGGUGCAAGCGUUGUUCGGAAUCACUGGGCGUAAAGGGCGCGCAGGCGGUUUGGUAAGUCAGAUGUGAAAGCCCAUGGCUCAACCAUGGAAGUGCAUUUGAAACUGUCAGACUUGAGUAUCAGAGGGGAAAGUGGAAUUCCCGGUGUAGAGGUGAAAUUCGUAGAUAUCGGGAGGAAUACCGGUGGCGAAGGCGACUUUCUGGCUGAAUACUGACGCUGAGGCGCGAAAGCGUGGGGAGCAAACAGGAUUAGAAACCCGAGUAGUCC
rnacentral:rRNA from 1 species